rnacentral:rRNA from 1 species
GCCUACGGGGGGCAGCAGUGGGGAAUAUUGCACAAUGGGGGAAACCCUGAUGCAGCAACGCCGCGUGAGUGAAGAAGUCAUUCGUGAUGUAAAGCUCUAUCAGCAGGGAAGAAAGAAAUGACGGUACCUGACCAAGAAGCCCCGGCUAACUACGUGCCAGCAGCCGCGGUAAUACGUAGGGGGCAAGCGUUAUCCGGAAUUACUGGGUGUAAAGGGAGCGUAGACGGUUAAGUAAGUCUGGAGUGAAAGGCCGGGGCCCAACCCCGGGACUGCUCUGGAAACUAUUGAACUUGAGUGCAGGAGAG